CAGGCUGAAAAAUUCUAUUGUGUGUGUGUACCACAUUUUCUUUAUCCAUUCAUCUCUUGAUGGACAUUUGGGUCGUUUCCAUAACUUGACUCUUCUUAACCUUGUUGCAGUGAACACGGGAGUGCAGAUAUCUUUUGAAGAUCCUGUUUUCAAUUCUUUUGGGUAUAUACUCGGUAGUAGGGUUGCAAAUUAAAAAUGGAGCUCUCACAGACCAUUAUUUUCUUGAUCCUUUGGUGCAUUUACUUUGGGUUGCCUAGGAACUCCUCCGUCUGUGGAUUUACCUUGUAGAGUCAGAGGGGAUGAUUGGGGAACCUGCAUGGCGAUGUGGGUUUUGAGCCUCUUUGGAAUUCAAACAAUACUGAUUUACCAGAACAAGAAAAUUUGGCUUUGGCCCCAAUACAGGCUGAGAAAGUUCAUCUUUUUAAAAGGGGCCAGUUCUUGAUUAGUUAGGGUACUGGAAUGGUCCAGGGAGGGAUAACUCAGGCCAUUUGCUUUGCCUCCUUCCCUUUCUUUCUGUCUGAUCUUUGGCCAGUUCAUGGCUUUCUAAUCCUGCCACUGGGGGAUGAAGGAAGAUUAAACUUGUGCCGUUGCCUUUGCAUGUUAUGAGCUCUCCAGAAAAAGUUUGCAUGGGAAUGGCCGAAGAUGUGGUAAGUUAAAGCAAAAUCAAUACACAGUUUACUAUCCAUGUCUUUCUGCUACCCUGCAAAUUUUCUUCCUCUCCAUGUAAUCUCUUUAUUGCAGCCUAGGAACUUUGUCAAGGGCUCCAUGACCAGGGUCUUUAGGAAACUCCAAAGACCUGAGAUUUCACCAGCAGAAAUGACAGCUGUUCCAAAAACAGAAAGGAGGUAAUUUCUUGUGUUUCAAAUUUCUCCAAAGGUGAGAGUUAAGACUCACUCUCAAGAUCUUUAUGUCACAUAGGUAAUGAGAGGAAGGGGUAGCAUUUUAACAGAUCACAUUCCCAAGGCCAAUCCAACGGGAGGGCUGGAAUUUGGGGAGGCUGCAGGGAGCAGGACUUUGGUGCCGCAAUCACUGGUUACCCUGUAAUAGUAUCUCAGGAGACUUUCCUGGUUACUGAGGACCAGAACUGUAGCUGAUUUUCAGCCCAAUACUUGGUGGGUUCUGUGGAGUCCAGCAUUCAAAGCCCUACCAUCGAGUGUGACUUCAGUGUCACAGGCAGAUGGUGUCACCAAGGCAUAAUGACUCCUGACCUGUGGCUCUGCUCUUCCUCCUUUCUCUUCCUCUCUCCCCUUCCCUGGGGGCCUGUGGUCCAGAGCUGCAUUCCUUUGUUAUCACACUUCCUUCCACAGACUGCACACGCCUGUUCAGGACACCAAGCUGUGUGAAAGCACUCCAGGCUGGUGGGAAUACCGCUCCCAGAAAGAAUCUGACUUGUUUCAGAAGCUUAUCUUCUGGCACUUGCUCUUCCAAAGAAAAAGGCUGCAGCAGGAGGAUAAAAGAGGCAAUCCAGGAGUGUGUGAGAUGGAGCCAGUUACAUGCAUCUCAGCCCAGGGAGGGAGUGAGGAGGGAAUGAAUGCGGCCUAAGUCCCUCACCUGCAAUGUGUAGGAGGUAAAUGAACCUGCUCACCCUCCCUCUCACCCAGCCACAUUCAGGGUCAUUUGCUGUAGCUCAGGUGGCUGCGGCUAGGGUGGGGUUGCCAGGUGGAAUAAUGGUCAUGCACAGCUGCCCCUCCACAGGGGCUGAGCCCAGGGUGGCUUCACUGGAAGAGGGUGUGGGACAAGCUGGGUAUCCUGGCUGACAUCUCUGCUAGCUGUCGGAAAGUUGAGUGAGGGAUGGGGUAGCUGUAUCUGUGUGUGUAUAUGUGAGAGAGUGUGUGUUUGCUGGGUCCUCGUAUGUGUUUGUUUCAGAUGGAUGUGUGUGGGUUUGAGGCCAGGGGAAUGGUGAGUCAGGGCAGCCCUGGGGGCAGGGAGGGGUGGGUGUGAGCAGGGCGAGUGAAGUGGCUGCAGCAGGAACAGGGGAGGCAUGCGGAACAUGGGUGGCAUGAGAGCUGACGCUACGACUGAAUGGAUUUUGAAAGGUCUUUGUCUGCCUCAAUUAAAAGGAUAGAUCCUUUUUUUCUUUAAGGCUGAAUAAAUAAUUUUUUCCCUUUUCUUCUUUGGUUCUUUUCAUAUAACAAUUUGUCAAACUCCGUCAAAAACAAACACAAACAGAAAAACCCAAAAGUCUUCUUGAAUGGGUUCAAGGUGCAGGAGGCACAGCUGAGCUGUGGGGAGCAGCGGUGCAGGAGCGGGGUGCUCGGUGGACUCUGGACCUGCUCUUGGGGCUGCUGGCCCCCUUCUUGCCCGUGUGGCCAGGGCAGCCCUUUGGAAAAGCUGUGCUGUAGCUUCAUCUUUUGUUUUGGCUUUUAUUGGCAUAUUCUUUUGUUCUCUUUAACUGCAUCCAAUCAAAUUGGCACAUCUGAGGUUCGGGAAGAUGGUUUGGAGCCAUUCCAUUACUCUGCCUAUCGAAUUCUGGGAUUUCUGCUUCCUGCCCUGUCCUGUCUUCUGUCCCCAGCUCACCCGGCCCCUACUGAUGUCAUGCUUUAUCAGCUUUCCACUGUGCAUGUAACUCUGCCUGGCAUUUGGUAUUGGGGUGGGUGUGGUGCUUUGAGAGAGGCACAGCAGAACCACUGAGAGAAAGGACGGUGUUUUUCCGUUUAGACCCUCAUUCAUCCCCUCCUUUCUCUAUUUUGCAGGUGCAGAACAUUGAGUUAUGGGGGUCCAGGGUAAACUUGGCUACCUUGGUAAACAUGGCUACAAGAUGUCAUGUUGGAGCAUUGCAGACUGCUCUUCUCCCUUCUGCCUUUACAUACAAGAUGCCUGUUGCUGAGAACACUUGUUCCCACUUCUCUAGCAGGCAAGGAUCUGGGCAGGACAACAACCACAGGCAUGUGCUUUCUCAUCAUGUGAUGUCAUCUGCCAGGUCAUGAUGCAGCAAGAAGGCCCUCACCAGAUGCCACCCCUCCAGAACCAUGAGCCAAAUAAAUGUCUGUUCUUUAUAAAUGAACCAGUCUGUAUUAUUCUGUUAUAGCAGCACAAAAUGGGUUAAGACAGGAAC
rnacentral:lncRNA from 1 species